rnacentral:rRNA from 1 species
UACGUAGGGUGCGAGCGUUGUCCGGAAUUAUUGGGCGUAAAGAGCUUGUAGGCGGUUUGUCGCGUCUGCUGUGAAAAUCCGGGGCUCAACCCCGGACUUGCAGUGGGUACGGGCAGACUAGAGUGUGGUAGGGGAGACUGGAAUUCCUGGUGUAGCGGUGAAAUGCGCAGAUAUCAGGAGGAACACCGAUGGCGAAGGCAGAUCUCUGGGCCAUUACUGACGCUGAGGAGCGAAAGCAUGGGGAGCGAACAGG